CCUACGGGAGACAGCAGUGAGGAAUAUUGGUCAAUGGGCUUACGCCUGAACCAGCCAAGUCGCGUGAGGGAAGACUGCCCUAUGGGUUGUAAACCUCUUUUGUCAGGGAGCCACGCCGGCUACGUGUAGCCGGACUGAGAGUACCUGAAGUAAAAGCAUCGGCUAACUCCGUGCCAGCAGCCGCGGUAAUACGGAGGAUGCGAGCGGUAUCCGUAUUUAUUGGGGUUAAAGGGUGCGUAGGCGGAAUGCCAAGUCAGCGGUAAAAUCGCGGGGCGCAACCGCGCUCCGACGUUGAAGCUGGCGUUCUUGAGUGGGCGAGAAGUAUGCGGAAUGCGUGGGGUAGCGGUGAAAGGCAUAGAGAUCACGCAGAACUCCGAUUGCGAAGGCAGCAUACCGGCGCCCAACUGACGCUGAAGCACGAAAGCGUGGGUAUCGAACAGGAUUAGAUACACUUGUAGUC
rnacentral:rRNA from 1 species